UUAUCUCGGCCUGUGGAUUGUAAUUCCUUUAGAUGUUCUCCUUUUGUUCCCUCAUUGCCUCCUCCACCUCCUUCCCCUCCAAUGCCAAUCCCUUCACCACCACCAGCACCAGUUGUCUCUCCGCCUCCGCCACCGCCUUCUCCACUACCACCUCCACCCCCGCCGCCGCCCCCGCCUUCUCCUUCACCUCCCUCUCCACCACCACCACCACCUCCACCCCCUUCUCCACCUCCACCAUCUCCUUCUCCGCCCCCACCGUCUCCUCCGCCACCUUCUCCGCCUCCCCCAUCACCUCCACCGCCGUCCCCUUCACCCCCACCACCACCGCCUCCAUCUCCUCCGCCGCCUUCACCACCACCUCCAUCUCCUCCUCCACCCUCACCAUCACCACCACCUCCAUCUCCCCCUCCACCCUCACCAUCACCACCACCUCCAUCUCCCCCUCCACCCUCACCAUCACCACCACCUCCAUCUCCCCCUCCACCCUCACCAUCACCACCCCCACCACCUUCACCGUCUCCGCCACCACCAUACUGUGUCCAUCCCCCGCCGCCACCUCCACCACAUUCGCCCCCACCACCAUCACCAGUGUUUUCUCCACCACCACCGGUUCCGUACUACUAUAGCUCCCCACCUCCGCCAUCGCCACCUCACUCGCCUCCGCCGCCUCCACAUUCUCCUCCACCACCAGCCUAUCCUUACUUGUCGCCACCGCCUCCACCAACACCAGUCUAUUCUCCACCGCCCCCGGUACAUUCUCCCCCACCGCCACCUCCUUGUAUAGAGCCACCUCCUCCGCCGCCCUGUGUAGAGUAUUCACCACCUCCACCACCAUCUCCAACUCCUUACAAGCCGCCACCCUCACCAUCUCCACCGCCUCCACCGGUUCACAAAUCACCACCGCCAGUUCAUUACAGUCCACCACCGCCAGUUCAUUACAGUUCGCCGCCACCACCAGUUCAUUACAGUUCGCCGCCACCACCAGUUCAUUAUAGUUCACCUCCACCACCGUCCCCAUCACCACCAC
rnacentral:lncRNA from 1 species